rnacentral:rRNA from 1 species
AUACGUAGGGGGCGAGCGUUGUCCGGAAUGAUUGGGCGUAAAGGGCGCGUAGGCGGCCCGGUAAGUCUGGCGUGAAAGUCCUGUUUUUAAGAUGGGAAUUGCUUUGGAUACUGUCGGGCUUGAGUGCAGGAGAGGUAAGUGGAAUUCCCAGUGUAGCGGUGAAAUGCGUAGAGAUUGGGAGGAACACCAGUGGCGAAGGCGACUUACUGGACUGUAACUGACGCUGAGGCGCGAAAGUGUGGGGAGCAAACAGGAUUAGAUACCCUGGUAGUCCACACUGUAAACGAUGAAUGCUAGGUGUAGGGGGUAUCGACCCCUUCUGUGCCGCAGUCAACACAAUAAGCAUUCCGCCUGGGGAGUACGGCCGCAAGGUUGAAACUCAAAGGAAUUGACGGGG